rnacentral:rRNA from 1 species
ACUAAACCUAAAGGCGAAAUGAAAGUAAACGUCCGCAUCCAGCGGACAGAGGGAAGAUGGUUGGUCUUCAAGACCGACCCGCAUUCCCGGGGCGUCUCAUUCUCAUUGCGAGAGGAGGCGCACCAAGAGCGUACACGCUGGGACCCGAAAGAUGGUGAACUAUGCCUGGUCAGGACGAAGUCAGGGGAAACCCUGAUGGAGGUCCGUAGCGAUUCUGACGUGCAAAUCGAUCGUCUGAACUGGGUAUAGGGGCGAAAGACUAAUCGAACCAUCUAG